UAUUGGUAUCGGAUUCGACCCGGAACUUGUUAAUUAUUGGCAAUAUUAAUUACAUGGAAAACAAAAGGGUCUGGAAUGGUGUAAUUUUUAAUCUACACCACUGUCCUAUAUUAGCUAUGUAUAAAGUUGAACUCUUUGAUUCAUCGUUUUUACGUGAUAACGGCUGACAAAUUGGACCUCGUAAUUUUAGUAUUAUAGAUAU
rnacentral:lncRNA from 1 species